rnacentral:rRNA from 1 species
UACGGGGGGAGCAAGCGUUGUUCGGAUUUACUGGGCGUAAAGGGCGCGUAGGCGGCCACCGCAAGUCGACUGUGAAAUCUCCGGGCUUAACCCGGAAAGGUCAGCCGAUACUGCGGGGCUAGAGUGCAGAAGGGGCAACUGGAAUUCUCGGUGUAGCGGUGAAAUGCGUAGAUAUCGAGAGGAACACCUGCGGCGAAGGCGGGUAGCUGGGCCGACACUGACGCUGAUGCGCGAAAGCCAGGGGAGCGAACGGG